UGCCGGGCUGUUGUCCGUUUGCAUCAGCCAGUUCAUGCAUCGCCUUGAUCUACUAACCCAUUGCCCCAGAGAAUGGAAGAUCUUCCCCCUCCACAGCUGUGUGUGAGAAUGGGGGGGAGGGGGGGGGAGGAGAUUUCCCUCUCUGAUUCUCAGAGACGCUUCUCAUCCAACACGCUCUGCAUGGAUCUGCACUCCCGGAUGCUUCAACUCACCUCUGCAAAACUUCACCAGAUUUUUUCCGGCGCAGCUUUAAAACAAAUAAUACAAAGCUUUACCCCAGAAGAAGCAUGCAGCGGCGAGUAGAUUAUCGUCGUUUCGUCGCUGAUAAUCAGACGCCGCAGCCAGACGUCCACACACUGCAAACACCGAGCCGACCCGCACACAUUCCAGUUUGUGUUUGAGGCGCUCCUCCUCAACAACGCGGACCAAUCAGAGGCCAGAGAUGUUACCGAGUGGGCGGGACCAGCCGGUUUUCAGCUCUGAGAAGAAUAACCCCGAGACUCCAUCAUGUGGUGAAGGCGGUGGGGGUUGAACAUCAUGAUACGUGUUUGUCCUUUUGUUAUUUCUCAUCCAAUGUAAAUCAGACUGAAUCAGCUCUUUUUAAAGCCCAAAAUUUAAAUAAAAACAAUGCAUGUAG